UGGGACCAUUGCGAGCUGUUUUGACUGUUUCUUUUCCGAGCGCCUGGUUAUGCUAGACGUCCCAACUUUCUCCUUCCGGAGUGCCUCCCCUCCAGCCGAGCCUCUUUCUUUUCAGCCCACAGAACCCCUCUGUCAGAUGCGACCAAGGAAAAAACUUUACAUUGCAACAAAUGAGGGAUCUCCCUCUGUCUCGGGAAGAUUUGGACGUGGCUAGCAGACCCCUUCCCUUCAGAAAGACUACAGUCAACUUUCUAGCCGAACUCUGAACUCCUCCUUAAGGCUGCUGAGGAAACGGCUGUCCCGGCUGUGCUGCCACCGGCUGAGUGAUCACUGAGAGUGAGGACACGAAGGCGACGUGGUGAACAGGAAAUGCAGACCUUUCAACUGGCUGGGCGGUUACCUGUGAAUGGACAAGUGAUGAACCAGUUUCUACAUGAUAAACUACACUCAGCAGCAAACUCAUUUUAGCCAGGCUGAGUGUAAUAUAUUCAUCUUUUAUUUUAAAUAUGCUCAAUAUGUAAAAUUAAUAUAAUUACAGUAUUUCUUCCAUUACAUUUAUGAAGCAUUGUUAUAAAUAUGCAAAACAAGGCAAAUUUGGAACCAAUACACAAUUUUUGGAAGAUAUGCUCCUUUGUUCAGACAACUUUAUUAUCAUUUUAGCCAGCCUAUAAAAAGUCAACAAUAAAUAAUAAAGACACACCUUCCAAAUUAUUGUCUUGAAAUAGAAACAGAGAGUUAAAAGAAGAAAUAAGUAAUGAUACUUUUUUUUUCUAUUUGCAUUUUCUUACCUUAAUCCAGCCAGAGUCACUUGGGCUGGGGAGGGGAUUAGUAAUAGAAAUGGAAGAAAUAUUAAAUCCAAGGAUGCUACUGAUUUUUCCUAAUAUUACAGCUUGUCCAAGAGAACCAGCAGUUUCCUGG